GGAGUGUUGAGGGACCAGACAACCCCUGGUUGGGGAGUGUUGAGGGACCAGACAGACCCUGGUUGGAGUGGGGAGUGUUGAGGGACCAGACAGCCCCUGGUUGGGGUGUGUUGAGGGACCAGACAGCCCCUGGUUGGGAUGGGGAGUGUUGAGGGACCAGACAGUCCCUGGUUGGGGUGGAGAGUGUUGAGGGACCAGACAGCCCCUGGUUGGGGUGGAGAGUGUUGAGGGACCAGACAGCCCCAGGUUGGGGUGGGGAGUGUUGAGGGACCAGACAGUCCCUGGUUGGCAUGGGGAGUGUUGAGGGACCAGACAGACCCAGGUUGGGAUGGGGAGUGUUGAGGGACGAGACAGCCCCUGGUUGGGGUGGGGAGUGUUGAGGGACCAGACAGCCCCUGGUUGGGGAGUGUUGAGGGACAAGACAGUCCCUGGUUGGCAUAGGGAGUGUUGAGGGACCAGACAACCCUGGUUGGGGUGGGGAGUGUUGAGGGACCAGACAGACACAGGUUGGGGUGGGGAGUGUUGAGGGACCAGACAGACCCUGGUUGGGGUAGGGAGUGCUGAGGGACCAGACAGCCCCUGGUUGGGGAGUGUUGAGGGACCAGACAGCCCCUGGUUGGGGUGGAGAGUGUUGAAGGACCAGACAGACCCUGGUUUGGGUGGGAGUGUUGAGGGACC
rnacentral:lncRNA from 1 species